rnacentral:rRNA from 1 species
AAUCAACGCUGGCGGCGUGCCUAACACAUGCAAGUCGAACGCGAAAGUCCCGCAAGGGAUUAGUAGAGUGGCAAACGGGUGAGUAACACGUGGGUGACCUGCCUUCGAGUGGGGGAUAACGUCCCGAAAGGGACGCUAAUACCGCAUGACAUCCUGUCUUUUAACAGGCGGAGAUCAAAGCUGGGGAUCGCAAGACCUAGCGCUUGAAGAGGGGCCCGCGUCUGAUUAGCAGUUGGUGAGGUAACGGCUCACCAAGGCGACGAUCAGUAUCCGGCCUGAGAGGGCGGACGGACACACUGGGACUGAGACACGGCCCAGACUCCUACGGGAGGCAGCAGUGGGGAAUUGUUCGCAAUGGGCGCAAGCCUGACGACGCAACGCCGCGUGGAGGAUGAAGGCCCUCGGGUUGUAAACUGCUUUUGUACGGAACGAAAGCGCUGAGUUAAUACCUCGGCGUCAUGACGGUACCGUAAGAAUAAGCACCGGCUAACUACGUGCCAGCAGCC